rnacentral:rRNA from 1 species
AUGUCGACCAUGUCGUGCUCCUCUAACCUCUCGCUCAACGCACACUCCCUCCUCGGCAGCCCUGCCGGCCGGACCGUGCCGCCAGCUGCCCGCCUGCUCCUCCUGCAGAAGCCUCCCACCGGCAUCCACGGAGCGUACACUACCUCUCGGCCACGACGCCCGUCGUCUCAUGUCACGUCGGCGGUGUCAGCCGACGAAGCGCCACCGACCAAGGAGAAGAAGGCGGACUCCUUCGUCGGGGACAUGGAGCGCGGCACCCUGGCUGAGGAGUCCGGCCGCUCCGACGGCGAGCUGACGUCGCGGUGGCGGGAGAUGCACGGCUGCAACGACUGGGACGGCCUGCUGGACCCCAUCGACAGGACGCUCCGCGGGGAGCUCAUCCGCUACGGCGAGUUCUCGCAGGCCUGUUACGACUCCUUCGACUACGACCGCUACUCCCGCUACGCCGGCACCUGCAAGUACGCCCAGGACUCCUUCUUCAAGAACGUCGGCCUCGCCGGCGUCGGCUACGACGUCACCCGCUACCUCUACGCCACCUCGCACGCCCGCUUCCCCAGCUUCGGCGUCCAGAAGCACAACCCCAGCGAUGACCGGAUGUGGAGCGAGACCGGUACCUUCAUCGGCUUCAUCGCCGUGUCCACGGACGAAGAGACGGCGCGCAUCGGCCGCCGGGACAUCGCCGUCGCCUGGCGAGGCACCGUCACAAAGCUCGAGUGGAUCGCCGACAUAACCGCGUUCCUCAAGCCCAUCGGCCAGUUUGGGCUGCCGUGCCCUGACCCGAGCGUGAAGGUGGAGGAGGGCUUCGCGGAGCUCUACACCAGCAAGAACCCCGACUGCAAGUACUGCAAGUACUCGGCGCGGGAGCAGGUGCUCGCCGAGGUGCGGAAGCUGGUGGAGCGGUACACCGGGCAGGGCGAGGAGGUGAGCGUCACCGUCACCGGCCACAGCCUCGGCGCCGCGCUUGCCGUGCUCUGCGCCUACGACAUCGCCGAGACGCGCGCCAACGUGUCUACCGGAGGUGCCAAGGCCCCGGUCUGCGUCUUCUCCUACUCGGGCCCGCGCGUGGGGAACCCCAUGUUCAGGGAGCGGUUCGAGGGCGAGCUGGGCGUGAAGGCGCUGCGCAUCCUGAACGUGCACGACUCGGUGCCCAAGGUGCCCGGCAUCUUCACCGAAGCCGUCCUCCCGAUGCCGUUGCUGCGGAUCGCCGGGGCUCUCGGCCUGCCCAGCGUCUACUCCCACAUCGGCGUGGAGCUGGCGCUCGACCACAAGCUCUCGCCCUUCCUCAAGGACGUCUUCGACCUCGCGUGCUACCACAACCUCGAAGCGCACCUCCACCUUCUCGACGGCUACCAGGGCCGCGGCAAGGAGUUCAAGCUCGGGGGUAGGGACCCGGCACUCGUGAACAAGGCCGCCGACUUCCUCAUGGACGAGCACAUGGUGCCUGACGGGUGGCGCCAGGAGUUGAACAAGGGCAUGGUCAGGACGGAGGAUGGGCGGUGGAUGCUGCCGCAUCGCCCGAGGAAUGUUGAGGAACACCCAGAAGACACCGAUCUCCACCUCGCUGAGCUCGGCCUUGCCGCCCCCGUCACCGCCAAGGCCACCGCUGCCGCCACCGCCACCGCCAACGUCUGA